rnacentral:tRNA from 1 species
ACAAUGGUAGUUCAGCGGAGAAUUCCUGCCUUCCAUGCGGGAGACCCAGGAUCGAUUCCAAGCCAGUGCA